CGCCAGAGACCCUCGGGCGGGGGCGGGGCGGGGUGCAGCUCGGACUUCGAACAUGGCGCACGCUGGCGGCGGCAGCGGUGGCGGCCCCGCGGGCCGGGGGCUGAGCGGCGCCCGCUGGGGUCGCUCGGGCUCCGCAGGCCACGAGAAGCUGCCGGUGCACGUUGAAGACGCCCUCACCUAUCUGGACCAAGUGAAGAUCCGCUUUGGCAGCGACCCCGCCACCUACAACGGCUUCCUGGAGAUCAUGAAAGAGUUCAAAAGCCAGAGUUUCGAUUCUCCUG